AGGGACUGUGGUGUGUGUAUAUGGGUUUAGAGUUUAAACCCAUAUACACACAUCACAGCCCCUGG